rnacentral:rRNA from 1 species
CCUACGGGUGGCAGCAGUGGGGAAUAUUGCACCAUGGGGGAAACCCUGAUGCAGCAACGCCGCGUGAGCGAAGAAGGCCUUCGGGUCGUAAAGCUCUGUUCUAAGGGAAUAAGGAUGAUGGUACCUUAGGAGGAAGCCCCGGCUAACUAAGGUCCCGCAGCCGCGGUAAUACGUAGGGGGCGAGAGCUAACCGGAAGCACUGGGCGGAAAGGGCGCGUAGGCGGCCGAUAAAGCCUGGGGUGAAAGGCUACCGCUCAACCGUAGUAAGCCUGGGGAACUUAUUGGCUUGGGUGCAGGAGAGGAUGGCGGAAUUCCUUGUGUAGCGGUGGAAUGCGUAGAUAUCAGGAGGAACACCAGUGGCGAAGGCGGCUCUCUGGACUGUAACUGACGCUGAGGCACGAAAGCGUGGGGAGCAAACAGGAUUAGAUACCCCGGUGGUC